rnacentral:rRNA from 1 species
CCUACGGGAGGCUGCAGUGAGGAAUAUUGGUCAAUGGACGAGAGUCUGAACCAGCCAAGUAGCGUGAAGGAUGACUGCCCUAUGGGUUGUAAACUUCUUUUAUAUGGGAAUAAAUCAUUCCACGUGUGGGAUUUUGUAUGUACCAUAUGAAUAAGGAUCGGCUAACUCCGUGCCAGCAGCCGCGGUAAUACGGAGGAUCCGAGCGUUAUCCGGAUUUAUUGGGUUUAAAGGGAGCGUAGGUGGAUUGUUAAGUCAGUUGUGAAAGUUUGCGGCUCAACCGUAAAAUUGCAGUUGAAACUGGCAGUCUUGAGUACAGUAGAGGUGGGCGGAAUUCGUGGUGUAGCGGUGAAAUGCUUAGAUAUCACGAAGAACUCCGAUUGCGAAGGCAGUUCACUGGACUGCAACUGACACUGAGGCUCGAAAGUGUGGGUAUCAAACAGGAUUAGAUACCCCAGUAGUC